rnacentral:misc_RNA from 1 species
GAAAAAGACAUGCAGUUAACAUUUACGCAAAAUGAAUCCAACGUCAUGGUGAAAUGCUACGCUGAAGGCGUGUACCCAGAACCAAAUAUGACCAUCUCAGCUGGCGAUAUGGAAGAAACACGUCAGAUAGGAAUCGAAACGUCUACGAAAGAUGGGGCCUACAAUAUAUCGGCCGUUAUGACACUCUCCAAUGAAGAGUUGAAAGAUCCAACGACGUUCGACUGCGUUCUUAGGAUUCCGUCGGCGAACUAUACCGUCCGAAGAACUACAGUUUUUUAUCCAGAAGGAACGAGUAGUUACAGCGAGCCGACGGCGAAACCAGCGUUUGCAUUUAUUGCCGGGGUACUCUGUUUUCUACUACAUAGGCUGUGAGCUGUUUGAAGUGAGGAGUAAGGAGUGUCUUCCCCCGUCCGGUGACCUAUCAGUUUAAAAUAAAUAUAUAUACACAAAUGGAACAAUUCGAGUCGUCGGAACUGCGUCGCAUUUCUGGGGGGCAACACUGCAAAAUGAAACACACGGCACUAUUAACUUCCCCAGGAUCCCGGCGUGCGCGCAACCAAUCAACAGGGUCAUUUAAAACUUUUAAAAAAUAAAUAAAUAUAUAUAUAGAUAUAUAAUAUAUAUCACAUUUGAGGAACCUCCAAGGCUACCUGAAUGCAUAAUAGUUUGUUUCUUUUAACAUAAUAUUUUCUGUAAAAUAUUUGUCUGUGUACUUUAAUAUCUUUGCACUAAGGAUGUUUAAGCGAGGAAACACGUCAAAACCACCUGACCUGUUUCUUUCAGAUUCAAAAUAAUAUUUCGCUUAUUUUACUAACAUUAAUUUUCGUGAAUUUAGUUUUUAGUAUUUAUUAAUGGCGUAUUUAAAAAUUUUUAAAAUCACAAAAAAAUCAUUGUCUAUUUCAGAGUUUAUAAAGUUAUUUGUAUUAUAGUUUUGUGUUUGUCUAGUCGUGUUUUUUUCCAUUUUGAGUGUUUAUUCUUAGCAGGAACAACAAAUAAUAACAAACUUUCUCGAUGGCACAGCCACGAAAGUUUUUUCUCUGCAAUUUACCGUGGCUGUGCUAGUCAUUACUAAAGCGAGAGAGUUUUGCUAUUGUUGAUAUUUUACUAAAAUUACAAUUGUAAAGAGACAAAAAAAUUGUUAUACCUUCGUGUAUGAUUUCAAAUUAUCACAUUGAAGGCUGGAAUUAAAUUAAAAAAAACAAUGUUCGCUAUUUUCUUAUUAUAUAUUUCAGAAGCGUAAACAUAUAUAUUUUUGAUCAGCAUAGAUAUGUAUAGAUUUUGAUUAAUAAUAAUAACUCAAUACGAAAAUGUUUAUUUAUCAAAAUUUCUAAUUUACAUUGUACAAAAAUUUGAAGUUUUGUGGGUUAGAAUGAACCCCACUUGUAAAUAAUUACAUUACGUGAAUAUGUCUAAAUUUAAGGGACGCGUUGGUUUAAUUGUUAUUCUGGUCGAUUGAAAAAGUGUCCUUUGGAACGGCCAAGCCAAAGACGACAAACACAAAACCAAAGAAAUGCUCAAACUAGACCCAAGGGGUUGUUUUAACGGAGCCAAAGUGAUCAGAUUUUUUAAAUAAAUGUAAAAUAAACACAGAAAAUUUAAACACAUCUUUUUUAUCAUUUAUGAAAACUAUAUAUAUAAAUAAUAUACAUAUUAUAUAAACGAACUUUAUUCGACAUUGUAAAUAUAUAAAAAUCAUACAUCUCUAGUUUUCACAAUGUGCAUAUCUCGACGUGGUUUUAAGGAUUGUUAAUUUAAAUAAAAAUGAAUUUAAAAUACUAAUAAAUUGCUGUUUCGAUGUGUCAGAUUAAAAAAAUAAAAAAAUAUGCUAUUAUUGAGUCAAGCCUAAUUCUGAAAUAAUUUUUUAAACUUGAAUGUUAAAUAUUAUAAAGUUAUUAAAAUGUUAUAAUUGUUUUUUCAUUUCAUUCUUUGGCCUAAACUUGUUAAAGUGUUACCAAUCUUUGCUAAUUGUUGUUUUCUGCAAACUCAUAAUGAAUAUAAUGAUAACCUAUGUUUACCUAUUUUUGUCAACCUCAAUAAGGUGUUUAAAUUUUAUAUGUAAAAAAUGUAUGACUUGUAUUGCCGUGUAAAUGUGUAUAGCUAUAAUAAAUUUAUGUUAAUAUGUA